CAAAUAAACUUGCCUUGCCUUGCCUUGCCUUUAUGUGUGUGUGAUAAAUAAAUAAAUAAAUAAAUAAAUAAAAAAAAUAAAAUGAAGAAAAAAAGCAAGCCCCUGGCCGUAAAAAGGUGUAAUUGUGGAAAAGAGGAAAAAGGAGAAAGUUAAAAGAAAAAACGAAAAAUUAGCUGGUUGCCCGCCGGUUUUAAUACUGUUAAUACUUACCGUUCUUCUUUCCGGCCCUCGACCUAUGCCACUAGGCCACAACAACCAGCUUUCCAUAUGGCUAAAAAAAAGUAUAUUUGAAUUUGAAAAAUUCUAUGUUAUGUGUGCACCUGCUGAGCUCAGAGUGCCUGUGCAGAUUAGAACAUGUGUGUGGAAAAAGCAGUGGUUGUGGACAGGACUUGAACCAGCACCUAAAGACCCCAAUGACGUUCAACUGCCUAGCAUUAACCCCUCAGCCACCAGAUUCGAUGACAUCACAGGCCAGAAGUGGGCCAUUUGAAACAGUGAAUACAUUGUUUUUCUUUAAAUAUGAAUGUAAAUAUAGAUUUGUGUGUGUGUGUGUGUGUGUGUGUUAAAUAAAUAAAUAAAUAAAAAGAAGAAAAAAAGCAAGCCCCCGGCCGGAAAAAAGGGUCAUUGUGGAAAAGAGGAAACAAGAGAAAGUUUGAAGAAAAAAUGAAAAAUGAACUGGUUGCCGGCUGGAUUCGAUACUAUUACCUGAUUUACCCUCAUGUGUUUCCAGCCCUCGACCUAUCCUGCUAGGCCAUAACAACCAGGUUAACAUUAUACAAAAAAAAAGUAUAUUUGAAUUUGAAAUGUUCUAUGUCUGUCUUGGGUGAAGUCUCACAAAAUACAAAUAUAAAUGCCAGUGUGUGUGUGUGUGUUUCAGGAAACACAAGCAACACAGAAAUGGCUGAGGGUUUUAAAGUACGAGCAUAAGGCUUUGAAAUGUAGAUAGUUGCAAUGCAGUUAGGUUCCACUUGGCCUUUAAGUCUCUCUCCCUUCCUCACUCCAUCUUUUUCUACGACCCACAAGUACACAUUAGGCGCAGGGGCUCAUAGGGCGCCCCCUGCUGGCGGAAGAACAUGUAUGACUUUGGAGUGCGCCUUAUAGUCGUGAAAAUACUUUUGAGUUUUUCUAAAAAAAAAGAGAGAAAAUGAAGAGAAAAAGCAAGCCCACGGCCGUAAAAAGGUGUAAUUGUGGAAAAGAGGAAAAAACAGAAAGUUAGAAGAAAAAACGAAAAAUUAGCUGGUUGCCCGCCGGUUUUGAUACUGUUAAUACUUACCGUUCUUCUUUCCGGCCCUCGACCUAUGCCACUAGGCCACGACAACCAGCUUUCCAUAUGGCUAAAAAAAAGUAUAUUUGAAUUUGAAAAAUUCUAUGUUAUGUGUGCACCUGCUGAGCUCAGAGUGCCUGUGCAGAUUAGAACAUGUGUGUGGAAAAAGCAGUGGUUGUGGACAGGACUUGAACCAGCACCUAAAGACCCCAAUGACGUUCAACUGCCUAGCAUUAACUCCUCAGCCACCAGAUUCGAUGACAUCACAGGCCAGAAGUGGGCCAUUUGAAACAGUGAAUACAUUGUUUUUCUUUAAAUAUGAAUGUAAAUAUAGAUUUGUGUGUGUGUGUGUGUGUGUGUGUGUGUGUUAAAUAAAUAAAUAAAUAAAAAGAAGGAAAAAAGCAAGCCCCCGGCCGGAAAAAAGGGUCAUUGUGGAAAAGAGGAAACAAUAGAAAGUUUGAAAAAAAAAUGAAAAAUGAACUGGUUGCCAGCUGGAUCCGAUACUAUUACCUGAAUUACCCUCAUGUGUUUCCAGCCCUUGACCUAUCCUGCUAGGCCAUAACAACCAGGUUAACAUUAUACAAAAAAAAGUAUAUUUGAAUUUGAAAUGUUCUAUGUCUGUCUUGGGUGAAGUCUCACAAAAUACAAAUAUAAAUGCCAGUGUGUGUGUGUUUCAGGAAACACAAGCAACACUGAAAUGGCUGAGGGUUUUAAAGUACGAGCAUAAGGCUUUGAAAUGUAGAUAGUUGCAAUGCAGUUAGGUUCCACUUGGCCUUUAAGUCUCUCUCCCUUCCUCACUCCAUCUUUUUCUACGACCCACAACUACACAUAUGGCGCAGCGGCCCACAGGGCGCCCCCUGCUGGCGGAAGAACAUGUAUGACUUUGAAGUGCGCCUUAUAGUCGUGAAAAUACUUUUGAGUUUUUCUAAAAAAAAAGAGAGAAAA